rfam:Otolemur garnettii contig182846, whole genome shotgun sequence.
AAAAAGGACUUUAUCAAGUCCACAUUAUAUUAGCUUGUUAUCUUUG